rnacentral:rRNA from 1 species
UACGUAGGCAGCAAGCGUUGUUCGGAGUUACUGGGCGUAAAGGGUGUGUAGGCGGUUGCUUAAGUUUGGGGUGAAAUCUCCCGGCUCAACUGGGAGGGUGCGCCGAAUACUGAGUGACUCGAGUGCGGGAGAGGAAAGUGGAAUUCCAGGUGUAGCGGUGAAAUGCGUAGAUAUCUGGAGGAACACCGGUGGUGUAGACGGCUUUCUGGACCGUAACUGACGCUGAGACACGAAAGCGUGGGUAGCAAACAGG